rnacentral:rRNA from 1 species
AUUGAACGCUGGCGGCAUGCCUAACACAUGCAAGUCGAACGGCAGCAUGACCUAGCUUGCUAGGUUGAUGGCGAGUGGCGCACGGGUGAGUAAUGCGUAGGAAUAUGCCUUGAAGUGGGGGAUAACCAGGGGAAACUCAGGCUAAUACCGCAUGAGCUCUAAGGAGGAAAGCUGGGGACCGAAAGGCCUGGCGCUUCAAGAUUAGCCUACGUCCGAUUAGCUAGUUGGUAGGGUAAAGGCCUACCAAGGCGACGAUCGGUAGCUGGUCUGAGGGGAGGGUCAGCCACACUGGGACUGAGACACGGCCCAGACUCCGACGGGACGCAGCAGGGGGGAAUAUUGGACAAUGGGGGCAACCCCGAUCCAGCGAUGCCGCGUGUGUGAAGAAGGCCUGCGGGUUGUAAAGCACUUUCAGUGGGGAGGAGGACUUGGAGGUUAAGAGCUACUAAGUUGGACGUUACCCACAGAAGAAGCACCGGCUAACUCCGUGCCAGCAGCCGCGGUAA